AGGGAAUUUUCGGCAAUGGGGGAAACCCUGACCGAGCAACGCCGCGUGAAGGAAGAAGUAAUUCGUUAUGUAAACUUCUGUCAUAGAGGAAGAACGGUGGAUAUAGGGAAUGAUAUCCAAGUGACGGUACUCUAUAAGAAAGCCACGGCUAACUACGUGCCAGCAGCCGCGGUAAUACGUAGGUGGCGAGCGUUAUCCGGAAUUAUUGGGCGUAAAGAGGGAGCAGGCGGCACUAAGGGUCUGUGGUGAAAGAUCGAAGCUUAACUUCGGUAAGCCAUGGAAACCGUAGAGCUAGAGUGUGUGAGAGGAUCGUGGAAUUCCAUGUGUAGCGGUGAAAUGCGUAGAUAUAUGGAGGAACACCAGUGGCGAAGGCGACGAUCUGGCGCAUAACUGACGCUCAGUCCCGAAAGCGUGGGGAGCAAAUAGGAUUAGAUACCCUAGUAGUCCACGCCGUAAACGAUGAGUACUAAGUGUUGGGGGUCAAAGCUCAGUGCUGCAGUUAACGCAAUAAGUACUCCGCCUGAGUAGUACGUUCGCAAGAAUGAAACUCAAAGGAAUUGACGGGGGCCCGCACAAGCGGUGGAGCAUGUGGUUUAAUUCGAAGCAACGCGAAGAACCUUACCAGGUCUUGACAUCGAUCUAAAGGCUCCAGAGAUGGAGAGAUAGCUAUAGAGAAGACAGGUGGUGCAUGGUUGUCGUCAGCUCGUGUCGUGAGAUGUUGGGUUAAGUCCCGCAACGAGCGCAACCCCUGUUGCCAGUUGCCAGCAUUAAGUUGGGGACUCUGGCGAGACUGCCGGUGACAAGCCGGAGGAAGGCGGGGAUGACGUCAAAUCAUCAUGCCCCUUAUGACCUGGGCUACACACGUGCUACAAUGGACAGAGCAGAGGGAAGCGAAGCCGCGAGGUGGAGCGAAACCCAUAAAACUGUUCUCAGUUCGGACUGCAGUCUGCAACUCGACUGCACGAAGAUGGAAUCGCUAGUAAUCGCGAAUCAGCAUGUCGCGGUGAAUACGUUCUC
rnacentral:rRNA from 1 species